rnacentral:rRNA from 1 species
CCUACGGGUGGCAGCAGUGAGGAAUAUUGGUCAAUGGACGCAAGUCUGAACCAGCCAUGCCGCGUGCAGGAAGACGGCUCUAUGAGUUGUAAACUGCUUUUGUACGAGGGUAAAUUCAGAUACGCGUAUCUUUCUGCAUGUACCCUACGUAUAAGGAUCGGCUAACUCCGUGCCAGCAGCCGCGGUAAUACGGAGGGUUCAAGCGUUAUCCGGAUUUAUUGGGUUUAAAGGGUGCGUAGGCGGUCGGUUAAGUUAGGGGUGAAAGCCCGGGGCUCAACUUCGGAAUUGCCUCUGAUACUGUUAGGCUAGAGGGUAGUAGCGGUAGGCGGAAUGUAUGGUGUAGCGGUGAAAUGCUUAGAGAUCAUGCAGAACACCGAUUGCGAAGGCAGCUUACCAAGCU